rnacentral:rRNA from 1 species
UACAGAGGUCCCAAGCGUUGUUCGGAUUUACUGGGCGUAAAGGGCGCGUAGGCGGCCAGCACAAGUCAGUUAUGGAAAUCUCCGGGCUUAACUCGGAAAGGUCAACUGAUACUGUGCGGCUAGAGUGCAGAAGGGGCAACUGGAAUUCUCGGUGUAGCGGUGAAAUGCGUAGAUAUCGAGAGGAACACCUGCGGCGAAGGCGGGUUGCUGGGCUGACACUGACG